rnacentral:rRNA from 1 species
UACGUAGGGAGCAAGCGUUGUCCGGAAUCACUGGGCGUAAAGGGCGCGUAGGUGGCACGGGUAGUCGUCGGUGAAAGCUCAGGGCUCAACCCUGAGUCGGCCGGUGAUACUCCCGAGCUCGAGUGUGGUAGAGGCCAAUGGAAUUCCGGGUGUAGCGGUGGAAUGCGUAGAGAUCCGGAAGAACACCGGUGGCGAAGGCGGUUGGCUGGGCCACAACUGACACUGAUGCGCGACAGCGUGGGGAGCAAACAGG